rnacentral:rRNA from 1 species
UACAGAGGGUGCGAGCGUUAAUCGGAAUUACUGGGCGUAAAGCGCGCGUAGGCGGCUUUUCAAGUCGAUUGUGAAAUCCCCGGGCUUAACCUGGGAACUGCAGUCGAGACUGUCUAGCUAGAGUAUGGGAGAGGGAAGUGGAAUUUCAGGUGUAGCGGUGAAAUGCGCAGAUAUCAGGAGGAACACCGGUGGCGAAGGCGGGUCUCUGGGCCGAUACUGACGCUGAGGAGCGAAAGCGUGGGGAGCAAACAGG